rnacentral:rRNA from 1 species
UACGAAGGGGGCUAGCGUUGCUCGGAAUUACUGGGCGUAAAGGCGCACGUAGGCGGCUUCUUAAGUCGGAGGUGAAAUCCUGGAGCUCAACUCCAGAACUGCCUUCGAUACUGGGAAGCUCGAGUCCGGGAGAGGUGAGUGGAACUGCGAGUGUAGAGGUGAAAUUCGUAGAUAUUCGCAAGAACACCAGUGGCGAAGGCGGCUCACUGGCCCGGUACUGACGCUGAGGUGCGAAAGCGUGGGGAGCAAACAGGG